GUAGGGGGCGAGCGUUGUCCGGAUUUAUUGGGCGUAAAAGGCUUGUAGGUGGCCACGGAAAGUCGGAUGUGAAAUCUCCCGGCUCAACUGGGAGGGGUCAUUCGAUACUGCCGGGCUCGAGGCCGGUAGGGGGAAGCGGAAUUCCCGGUGUAGUGGUGGAAUGCGUAGAUAUCGGGAGGAACACCAGAGGCGAAGGCGGCUUCCUGGACCGGUCCUGACACUGAGGAGCGAAAGCGUGGGGAGCGAUCCGGAUUAGAUACCCGGGUAGUCCACGCCGUAAACGGUGGGCACUAGGUGUCGGGGGUAUCGACCCCUCCGGUGCCGCAGCUAACGCAUUAAGUGCCCUGCCUGGGGAGUACGGCCGCAAGGCUA
rnacentral:rRNA from 1 species